rnacentral:rRNA from 1 species
UCGACCGCCUGGGGAGUACGGCCGCAAGGUUAAAACUCAAAUGAAUUGACGGGGGCCCGCACAAGCGGUGGAGCAUGUGGUUUAAUUCGAUGCAACGCGAAGAACCUUACCUGGUCUUGACAUCCACGGAAGUUUUCAGAGAUGAGAAUGUGCCUUCGGGAACUGUGAGACAGGUGCUGCAUGGCUGUCGUCAGCUCGUGUUGUGAAAUGUUGGGUUAAGUCCCGCAACGAGCGCAACCCUUAUCCUUUGUUGCCAGCGGUCCGGCCGGGAACUCAAAGGAGACUGCCAGU